UACGAAGGGGGCUAGCGUUGUUCGGAGUUACUGGGCGUAAAGAGUGCGUAGGCGGUUUUCUAAGUUUGGUGUGAAAUCUCCCGGCUCAACUGGGAGGGUGCGCCGAAGACUGGAAGGCUUGAGUAUGGGAGAGGUAAGCGGAAUUCCUGGUGUAGCGGUGAAAUGCGCAGAUAUCAGGAGGAACACCGAUGGCGAAGGCAGGUCUCUGGGCCAUAACUGACGCUGAGAAGCGAAAGCAUGGGGAGCGAACAGG
rnacentral:rRNA from 1 species